AGAGUUUGAUCCUGGCUCAGGAUGAACGCUAGCUACAGGCUUAACACAUGCAAGUCGAGGGGAAACGACAUCGAAAGCUUGCUUUUGAUGGGCGUCGACCGGCGCACGGGUGAGUAACGCGUAUCCAACCUGCCCACCACUUGGGGAUAACCUUGCGAAAGUAAGACUAAUACCCAAUGACGUCUCUAGAAGACAUCUGAAAGAGAUUAAAGAUUUAUCGGUGAUGGAUGGGGAUGCGUCUGAUUAGCUUGUUGGCGGGGUAACGGCCGCAAGGCUACGAUCAAUAGGGGUUCUGAGAGGAAGGUCCCCCANAUUGGAACUGAGACACGGUCCAAACUCCUACGGGAGCA
rnacentral:rRNA from 1 species